AUCUCAAUCUUCUUCAUGUAUAUUUUUGUUUCCCAUUUCAUCCCCGGCUCCUGACAUUAUUUUAGGAAUUUGCCAUCAAAACCCUAGCUUCACUAAUCCGCAAAGAGGAAAUAAGAAAGGGGGGUCACUGUUUUUAGCUUAUUAGCUUAUCUUUCUUGCAUCUGGCAUAAACCCUAGUUCUCAUUUCUGGCUUCGAAUUUGUAUUGCUUGUAGUUCUAGAAUCGAUGAUUUGGUUUCUAAUUUUACCCUUUUGCAUGUAAAAGUAAAUAGCUUGGGUUCAGUUCAAUUUGGGGGUUUGCUGGAUUCUGGAGAUUUGGUUCAUAACUGAAUCAAAACGGUCAGAGGGACGUUGAUAAGCUAAUUUGUAGAUUUCAUGUUUCAGUUUGGAUUUGACAUUUCUUCUUAGGAUUUGAUGCUGGAAGCAGUAUGCCGCUGAUAGUUGGGAGAAAUGCAAAGGUAUCAUGCUGCCAGCUGCACUAGUGCAGUUAAUAACAGUGGAAUAGGAGGAGCUUCUGCUAGGGAUACUGCCCGGGUUGACUCAUCUUCUUUAGCACCUAACUUCUCGUUAAAUUCUAGGCGGCAAACUCAGCUAUCACCCUACAAAUUAAAGUGUGACAAGGAACCUCUUAAUUCCAGACUUGGGCCACCGGAUUUUCAUCCUCAGUCCCAAACUUGUCCCGAGGAGACUCUCACUAGAGAAAAUGUGCAGCAGGGAUAUAAGGAGACUAUUGAUGGGCUGGAGGAUUCUAAAGAGAUUUCAUUGACUCAGGUUCAGGCUUUUACAAAGCCAGUUGUCUUAAAAUGCAGAGACGCAAUUAGAAAGCGUCUAAGAGCUAUCAAUGAGUCUCGUGCUCAAAAGCGGAAGGCUGGUCAAGUUUAUGGUGUCCCUCUUUCUGGUACACUGUUAAGUAAACCUGGGGUUUUCCCUGAACAAAGGCCGUGCAAUGAAGAUUUCAGAAAGAAAUGGAUUGAGGGCUUAUCACAACAACACAAACGUUUGCGUUCUUUGGCUGAUCAAGUUCCUCAUGGGUAUAGGAAGAAAACACUAAUAGAAGUUCUUAUCAGGAAUAAUGUUCCAUUGCUGAGAGCAACUUGGUUUAUCAAAGUAACUUACCUUAACCAGGUUCGUCCUGGUUCUGCAAUUUCUCCUGGAGCACCUGAUAAAGCUCAACUAUCUCGUACAGAGCUCUGGACAAAAGAUGUUAUUGAUUACUUGCAGACCCUUUUGGAUGAAUUUUUUCCAAAAAGUAAUUCUCAUUCUACUCAACACAGUAGAGAUCGAUUGCCACAAAUGCUUUAUGCUGGUUCUUUGCAGCAUAGGAGUGAUUCAGCAUCAACAAUCCUUGAUGGUGAGGAGCCGUCCCUUCACUUUAAAUGGUGGUAUGUGGUGCGACUCUUGCAAUGGCAUCAUGCAGAAGGACUUGUUCUUCCUUCUCUUAUCAUCGAUUGGGUUCUGAAUCAACUGCAGGAAAAGGAAUUGCUUGAGAUUCUGCAGUUGCUAUUGCCUAUCAUAUAUGGAGUUUUAGAAACCAUCAUUCUAUGUCAGACAUAUGUACGCAAUCUUGUAGGCAUAGCUAUUCGCUUCAUCCGCGAGCCUUCUCCUGGUGGAUCUGAUCUGGUUGAUAAUUCCCGGAGGGCAUACACAAUAUCUGCUCUUGUUGAGAUGCUUCGCUAUUUGAUACAGGCUGUACCAGAUACAUUUGUUGCUUUAGAUUGCUUUCCUUUACCAACUUAUGUAGUCUCACAUGCAUUGAAUGAUGGUGGUUUUUUAUCAAAGUCAUCGGAUGAUGCAGGGAAAAUAAAAAAUAACUCAGCAGAUGCUUAUGUUCUCAGAGGUAAAGGAUUUGAUUCUCAAUGCCAAUCAUUGUCAUUUGAUCAUGUUGUUUCCACUAUCCAGAAAUGUGCCGAUAAUCUUGCUAAAGGCACGAGUGUUGGAUAUCCUAGCCAAAGUGUGGCUAAAGCUGUGCAGACCCUGGAUAAAGCUCUUUUGCAAGGAGAUCUAAUGGAGGCUUAUAAAAAUAUCUUUGAAAAUCCGUGUGAUGGAACAGUAGGUGAAGGUUGGGUUGCAGAAAUCAGUCCAUGCUUAAGAUCAUCAUUAAAAUGGAUUCAAACUGUGAAUUUGUCAUUGAUUUGCUCUGUUUUUUUACUUUGUGAGUGGGCAACAUGUGAUUUCAGAGACUUCCGGACUGCUCUGCCCCGUGACUUGAAGUUCACUGGCAGAAAAGAUUUUUCACAGAUAUAUCUUGCAAUUCAGCUUUUGAAGCUGAAGAUAAGAGAGUUGCAGAAUCCACAACACAAGAAUGGCAGGGCUUCUGGAGGUAACAGCACUGCAAAGAAUAUCAGUCAUCAGAAUAAUUAUUCUUGCUGGAAUUUGUCAGGAAAUCUAUUUGAAGUUAAAAGCAAAGUAAGAGGUGUGGAUGGAAGAAAUAGUAAUUCUUCAGAUAUAUUUGACAGCCCAGGUCCUCUGCAUGAUAUUAUUGUGUGCUGGAUCGAUCAACAUGAAGGGCAUAAAGGAGAAGGUGGCAAGCGCCUUCAGCUUUUUGUUUUGGAACUCAUACGUUCUGGAAUCUUUUAUCCUCAGGCAUAUGUGAGGCAACUAAUUGUUAGUGGAAUUAUUGAUACAAAUAGACCUGUCAGUGACUUUGACAGAAGGAAGAGGCACCAUCGAAUCUUGAAGCAGCUUCGUGGGCAGUUUAUGCGUGAUGCUUUGGAAGAAGCAAGAAUUGCUGAAGGCUCAGAACUACUGGAGGCUGUAAAUGUCUACUCAAAUGAACGCCGUCUUGUCCUUCACAGGCUUCUUUCUGAUCAAUAUAAUAAUGCAAACAAUGCUCAUGUAUCUGCUAAGAAGCGGAAGUAUCAUUCGACCUCUGGAAGGAAUGGUGCUUCCCAAGCUGCAGGUGAUCAGCAGAAAACUGUUCAGUCUUCAAAGGCCUUCAUAAGAGAGGUGGACCUUGAAGAACUGAAGUCUUCCAUCUCAGUCUUGUUGCAAUUCCCUAGCUUGUCUUCUACAUCUGCAGAUAGUGGAGUGGAUGAGUCUCAAGGGAGUGUCAAGAGGCCUAUUGGGUCAGCAUGCAACAAGAUGGACUUGUUUGAAGUUACUCCUGGGUGUGAAGAUUGUAGAAGGGUGAAAAGACAGAAAUUAUGUGAGGAAAAAAGUUCAUAUCUUCAAGUACCUUCACCAAUUCCAUCAGAUGACGAAGAUACUUGGUGGGUGAGGAAGGGGCCAAAAAGCUUAGAGCCUUUCAAAGUUGAUCCUCCACUUAAGUCAACGAAGCAAGUUUCUCGGGGUAGGCAAAAGACCGUGCGUAAAACUCAGAGUCUUGCUCAAUUAGCAGCUGCUAGAAUUGAGGGCAGCCAGGGAGCAUCUACAAGUCAUGUAUGUGAUAAUAAGAUAAGCUGCCCUCAUCAUAGAACUGAGGUGGAAACUUUGAAGCCAGUGGAUGGGAUCAGAAUAACCCAUUCUGGAAAUAUUAUUUCCAUUGGAAAGGGUUUAAAGCAGCUUCACUUUGUGGAGAAGAGGAUAGUUACAGUUUGGUUGAUAUCUGUAGUUAGGCAGCUUGUUGAAGAGUCUGAGAAAUCCGUGGCCAAGGUUGGCCAGUAUGGCCGGCCUUUUGUUGUGGCUGAUGAGAAGAGUCCUUUAAGGUGGAAACUUGGUGUGGAUGAGCUAUCAACUAUCUUGUAUCUAAUGGAUGUUUCUUGUGAUUUACCUUCAGCUGUCAAAUUUCUCCUUUGGUUGUUGCCAAAAGUUAUUAGUAAUCCCAGUCCUACCAUUCAAAGUGGGAGAAACAUUCUAAUGGUGCCCAGGAAUGUGGAAAAUCAUGCAUGUGAAGUCGGGGAGGCAUACCUUUUAUCAUCUCUCCGAAGGUAUGAGAACAUACUUAUUGCGGCAGAUCUUAUUCCUGAAGCUUUGGCGGCUACAAUGCAUCGUGCUGCAGCAGUUAUGGCCAGUAAUGGAAGAAUUACUGGUUCAGGAACCUUAGUUUUUGCUCGGUAUUUGUUGAAGAGGUAUGGCAAUAUUGCCAGUGUAAUUGAAUGGGAGAAAAAUUUCAAGGCAACUUGUGAUAACAGACUUUUGUCUGAACUUGAAUCUGGACAAGCACACGAUGGAGAGUUUGGGUUACCACUUGGAGUUCCAGCAGGGAUUGAAGAUCCUGAUGAUUACUACCGUCAAAAGCUAAGUGGUGCACGGUUAUCCAGACUGGGCUUGAGCAUGAGGGAUAUGGUUCAGCGUCAUGUUGAUGAUGUCUUGCACUAUUUCUUAGGUAAAGAGAGAAAACUUUUUGCAGCCAAUGCACCAAAAGGUCCUGCCAUUGAAAAAGGGGAUGAUGGUUAUCAAGUAGCGCAACAAAUUACAAUUGGACUACUGGACUGUAUUCGGCAGACUGGAGGUGCUGCUCAGGAAGGGGAUCCAGUUUUGGUGUCUUCUGCUAUUUCUGCCAUUGUUACCAAUGUUGGACCAGCCCUAGCAAAGAUACCUGAUUUUACUGGUGGCAGCAAUUAUUCAAAUUAUCAGCCACCUAUGAAUUCCUUGAAUUUUGCCAAGCGCAUCUUGCGCAUUCAUUUAAUUUGUCUAUGCCUACUGAAGGAAGCACUUGGAGAGCGCCAAAGCCGAGCAUUUGAGCUAGCUCUUGGAAUAGAGGCUUCUUCUGCUUUAGCAGGAGCAUUUGCUCCUGCAAAGUCCUCUCGAGGUCAGUUUUCAUUGGCUCCUGAUGCUCCUGAUACUAAUGCAAACAUAUCUGGUGACAAUUUGAACAGUUCUGCCAAAGUGACUCUUGGGAAGACAACCAAAAUGGUAGCUGCUGUUUCUGCUCUUGUCAUUGGGACUGUAAUUCAUGGGGUUAUUAGCUUGGAUAGAUUGGUAUCAGUCUUAAGAUUAAGGGAAGGUUUGGAUGUUGUUCAGUUUGUAAGGAGCACAAAAACCAGUUCUAAUGGUAAUGCUCGAUCUGUUGGGGCUUUUAAGGUUGACAACUCCGUUGAAGUUUAUGUGCAUUGGUUUCGGUUGUUUGUUGGUAACUGCAGAACUGUUUGUGAUGGACUGGUUUUGGAACUCUUGGGUGAACAAUCAGUUGUGGCUCUUUCAAGGAUGCAGAGAUUGCUCCCUAUCAGUUUGGUCCUUCCACCGGCUUAUGCAAUAUUUGCAUUUGUUAUAUGGAAGCCCUUCAUUUUGAAUAGUAACAUCGCAAGUCGUGAAGAUGUCCAUCAAUUAUAUCAGUCUUUAACAAUGGCCAUUGGCGAUGCCAUAAAACACAUACCUUUUCGAGAUGUUUGUAUGAGGGAUAGUCGUGCUUUUUAUGAUAUUGUGGCUGCAGAUACCACUGAUGCUGAGUUUGCAGGCUUGCCAGAGUUGAAUGGGAAAUCAAUGGCCUUUGUCCCUCUCCGUGCAAGGCACUUUCUGAAUGCUAUAAUUGAUUGCAAGAUGCCUUAUUCAGCUUUUUCACAGGAUGAUGGGAAUCGGGUUUCUGGACAUAGCGAGUAUAAAGCACUACGUGCAGAGAGUGAGUCAAAUCUUUCAGAUAAGCUUGUUCGUGCAUUGGACACUCUGCAACCAGCUAAAUUUCACUGGCAGUGGGUUGAGUUAAGGCUUCUUUUAAAUGAACAAGCACUCAUUGAUAAGACGAAGAACCAGGAGAUGUCCUUGGUAGAUGCUGUUCGGUCUUCCUCACUCAGUUCUGAAAGAGCUUCUCCUUCUGAGAAUGAGAAAGUUUUAAUUGAGAUCAUCUUUACCAGAUUGUUGGUCAGACCUGAUGCUGCUCCCCUUUUCUCAGAGCUGGUUCAUCUUUUUGGAAUGUCAUUAGAGGAUUCAGUGUUGAUGCAGGCUAAAUGGUUCCUAGGGGGCCAGGACGUUCUUUUGGGACGGAAGACUGUUAGGCAACGGCUCAUUAAUUUUGCUGAAACUAACUGCCGUUCUACGAAGACCCAGUUUUGGAAGCCUUGGGGAUGGUCUUACUCUGGUGUUGACCCUGUGACAAACAGGGGAGAGAAGAAGAAGUACGAAGUCACCUCUCUCGAGGAAGGUGAAGUCAUUGAGGAGGGCAUGGAGUCAAAAAGGUAUUUGAAGGGUUCUAGUCAAGUUGAUAUUGAGGGUUCCAGUAUCAGCCUGCAGCAUGUAACCGAGAAGGCUUUCUCUGAAUUGGUUCUUCCUUGCAUAGACCAAAGCUCUGAUGACUCGCGCAACACCUUUGCAAGUGAUUUGAUAAAGCAGUUUAACACUAUUGAGCAACAAAUAAACUCAGUUACUCGUGGCAUAAGCAAGCAGACUGGAACAGCCUCUUCUGGAAUUGAAGGUUCUACUAAUAAAGGAAGCAAUCGCAAAGGUAUAAGAGGUGGUAGUCCUGGAUUGGCUAGACGAACAACGGCAACGGCAUCUGCGGAGUCUGUGCCUCCUUCCCCUGCAGCUUUGCGAGCUUCUAUGUCACUGAGGUUGCAGUUUAUUGUCAGAUUGCUUCCAAUCAUAUGUGCAGAUGGGGAGCCAUCAGCACGAAACUUGAGGCACAUGCUUGCCUCUGUAAUACUUCGAUUGCUUGGAAGUAGGGUUGUGCAUGAGGAUGUUGACCUAUCUUUUAAUCUCGUACAGUUGAAGAGGGACAUGGAGCUGAUGUCAUCUGUUGCAUGGUCGGAAUUGUGUGGAGAUUGUCUUUUUGAUCGCUUACUGUUAGUUCUACAUGGGUUGUUAAGCAGUUCUCAGCCAAGUUGGCUAGGGUCAAAGCCUGCCUCCAAACAUACCAGUGAAUUUGCCAAGGAUUUCUCUGGAUUUGACCGUGAGGCAGUGGAGAGUUUGCAGAAUGAAUUGGAUUCUAUGCAAUUGCCUGAGAUGAUUAGAUGGCGUAUCCAAGCAGCAAUGCCAAUAUUAUUUCCUUCUUUUCGCAAUUUGAUCUCCUGCCAUCCACCUUCUGUCCCAAUUGGUGCUCUUAGUUCGCUUCAGCCCAGCAUCUUUGUCCCUGGAUCUUACGUUGGAAAUUUGAACGCACCUCAAAGACAGGUUCCAUUGGCACGAAAUGCAAAUAAUAUCCUGGGAAAGUCCAAGUCGAUGCCAUUACUUCAGGAAUAUGAUAUGGAAAUUGACCCAUGGACACUUUUGGAAGAUGGAGCAGGAUCAGGCCCAUCUUCAAAUAGCACUGUUGUCAUUGGCAGCAGUGACCAUGCUAAUCUUCGAGCUUCUAGUUGGCUUAAGGGGGCUGUAAGGGUGAGACGGACAGAUCUCACGUAUAUCGGGGCUGUGGAUGAUGAUAGCUGAUUGUAGGUGUGACUUCAUUUUUGAUAUGGUAUGAGGUUAGCAAACCCCCCACAACAGGAAAUUUAAUGUGUCAUUUGUUGUGCAUAAUUGGCAUCAAGGUCACAUCUCUUGCCCCUCCCAUGUUGAAUAGUGGAGGGAGAAUUGUUGGGAGGGGCAUUUUUUCACAUCGGGAGGGUGAGGGGUUGGGGAGGUCUGCUGCGCAUGCCGCAGCCCUUGUAGAAAAAGAUGUGCUCAUGUAGGCCAUCUAUUCAGCUUGCAGAGCCUGUACAAACUACUAACGUUUUAAUGCCCUCCACUAUCUGGGCCGUAUAGUCACAGGUUGAAGAAAUGUUUCGAUAAUUCUUAAAACAUCAGCUUCUGCAUACUUAAAUGAUGGCGUCAUUGUUGGAUAAGGCCUAAUCUACAACUGAUGAAUGGUUGGGUCACAGGACCACCUUACUUAGAAUUUGUAAUAUGUAUCAGUUAUGGGUAUUUGUACAAAUACAAUUGCAUUUUUCUUGAUUUUAACAGAUGUAAGACUUCUGGUUGUUUCAACUUUAAUUACUAUGGUAGCUGCUGGGCAAUGAUGC